rnacentral:tRNA from 1 species
GGUUAUAGCUCAGUUGGUAGAGCACUUGCCUAGCACAUGUGAGGCACUGAGUUCAAUCCUCAGCACCA